UACAGAGGUCUCAAGCGUUGUUCGGAUUCAUUGGGCGUAAAGGGUGCGUAGGUGGCGCCGUAAGUCAGGUGUGAAAUUUCGGAGCUUAACUCCGAAACUGCAUUCGAUACUGGCGUGCUUGAGGACUGGAGAGGAGACUGGAAUUCAUGGUGUAGCAGUGAAAUGCGUAGAGAUCAUGAGGAAGACCGAUGGCGAAGGCAGCCCCCUGGGCUGACACUGACGCUCAGGCACGAAAGCGUGGGGAGCAAACAGG
rnacentral:rRNA from 1 species